GAAGUUGAGCUUCAGGCGCGGCUCUUCCCCGUCACACUGGGACCGGACGCAUUUCCAUGGCGUGGUCCCAGGAACCUCUCAGAGAUAACUGAAUUGGAUGCAAGAUCAUGGUGCGUCAGAGCUAGCAAGAUCCUUAGGAUCAUUUAGCCUGGUUUACUAAUAUUACACUAUGGAAUUUAAGCCCAAGGAAUGGAGAGUACCUGACGAGGGUUAUGUAAGGAGUCAAGUGAGAAGUAAGCUGGAUGCUCUGCUUGGCUGGCAGGUACAGAAUGUGCCAGACCCAUCUGUACCAGCCUGGAUCUCUUGAGGCAUCAGCACAAUGGACCUGGCCACACCAGUUUAUUCCACACCGCUGAGGCUGGUCUUUGAGGAAUCACCACACUGUCUUCCACAAUGCACCAUGGAAUACUAUGCAGACAUAAAAAGGAAUGAGAUCAUGUCGUUUGCAGGGACAUGGAUGGAGCUAGAAGCCAUUGUCCUCAGAAAACUAACACAGGAACAGAAAACCAAAUACCACAUGUUCUCACUUAUAAGUGGGAGCUGAAUGAUGAGAACACAUGGACACGUGGUGCGGGAACAAUACCCCUGGGGCCUGUUGGAGGGUGGGGGCUGGGAGGAGGGAGAGCAUCAAGAAUAGCUAAUGAGGCCAGGCACAGUGGCUCACGCCUGUAAUCCCAGCAUUUUGGGAGGCUGAGGCGGGCAGAUCAUUUGAGGUCAGGAGUUUGAGACCAGCCUGGCCAAUAUGGUGAAACCCCGUCUCUAUUAAAAAUACAAAAAUAUUAGCCAGGCGUGGUGGCAAUGCCCGUCGUCCCUGCAACUUGGGAGGCUGAGGCAGGAGAAUCGUUUGAACAUGGGAGGCGGAGUUUGCAGUGAGCCAAGAUCGUGCCACUGUACUCCAGCCUGGGCGACAGAGUGAGGCUC
rnacentral:lncRNA from 1 species